rnacentral:rRNA from 1 species
CGCUGGCGGCGUGCUUAACACAUGCAAGUCGAACGGAAAGGCCCCCACCUUGGUGGGGGUGCUCGAGUGGCGAACGGGUGAGUAACACGUGGGUGAUCUGCCCUGUACUUCGGGAUAAGCUUGGGAAACUGGGUCUAAUACCGGAUAGGACCAUGGUUUAGUGUCUCAUGGUGGAAAGAUUAUUGUUUUGGUGCAGGAUGAGCUCGCGGCCUAUCAGCUUGUUGGUGGGGUAAUGGCCUACCAAGGCGUCGACGGGUAGCCGGCCUGAGAGGGUGGACGGCCACAUUGGGACUGAGAUACGGCCCAGACUCCUACGGGAGGCAGCAGUGGGGAAUAUUGCACAAUGGGCGCAAGCCUGAUGCAGCGACGCCGCGUGGGGGAUGACGGCCUUCGGGUUGUAAACUCCUUUCGUUAGGGACGAAGCCACACCUUUUUUGGGUGUGGUGACGGUACCUUUGUUAAGAAGCACCGGCUAACUAC